GAGCGCGAAAGGGGAGCAUCUCUGAGUAAAGCGGCGUACGGGUGAGCAACACGUGGGUAAUCUACCUUUUAGUGUGGAAUAACCCUGGGAAACCGGGGCUAAUACCGCAUAAUCCUGUGAAGGGAAAGCAGCAAUGCGCUGAAAGAGGAGCCCGCGGCCGAUUAGCUAGUUGGUGAGGUAACGGCCCACCAAGGCGAUGAUCGGUAGCCGGCCUGAGAGGGCACACGGCCACACUGGCACUGAAACACGGGCCAGACUCCUACGGGAGGCAGCAGUGGGGAAUCUUGCACAAUGGAGGCAACUCUGAUGCAGCGACGCCGCGUGAGCGAUGAAGCCCUUCGGGGUGUAAAGCUCUUUCGGCAGGGACGAUAAUGACGGUACCUGAAGAAGAAGCUGCGGCUAACUACGUGCCAGCAGCCGCGGUAAU
rnacentral:rRNA from 1 species